GAAAUAAUGAACUGGCAGGCUGCUCUGUAUAAAACUGACACCAAAGUAGACUUCUCCACAAUAAGCGGUAUGCCUACGAGCCAAAUGCAGGAUAAUUUCUGCCAAUGGCAACACUGCCUCAAAUAGAAGCCACCUUUCCCCAUCUUUUACAAGCAUAGUCACUAUAACUAGUUAACCUGCUACCAGCUCCAGGCCUUUCCUUCGCUCUGUACCUGAAAGUAACAGCUUCUGAAAAAUCAGUCCUGCCUCAAGUCAGAUCCAAAAGCACAAGCAGUCAUAGCAGCCAAAGGAACAAACAUAGUCUGUUUUGAUCUCACUUGGGUACAUUCAGUGCAUCUUUAGUGGGUGCUGUGGCAGCUGUGGCUCCAGCUUCCUGACCGUCAGCUAUGCCAACUUGUUCCUGAAGGCAUUCUCUGCUCUGUCCAUGUUUAUCUUUCAUUUCUUACCCUUCCUUCCAAUAAACAGCAAUGGCUAUGCCAGUACCCAUCAUUAUGGUUGUGGCUCUGCCUUCCCCAUCUACUCAUUCCCUAAAAUGACAGUGCAACUAUAGACCCAGUCCUAGGUGCCAAGUAUAUAU
rnacentral:lncRNA from 1 species